rnacentral:rRNA from 1 species
UACGUAGGGGGCGAGCGUUGUCCGGAUUUAUUGGGCGUAAAGAGCUCGUAGGCGGUUCGAUAAGUCGGACGUGAAAUCUCCACGCUCAACGUGGAGGGGCCGUUCGAUACUGUCGUGACUCGAGUCCGGUAGGGGAGUGUGGAAUUCCCGGUGUAGCGGUGAAACGCGCAGAGAUCGGGAGGAACACCCGUAGCGAAGGCGGCACUCUGGGCCGGUACUGACGCUGAGGAGCGAAAGCGUGGGGAGCAAACAGG